GUUGAAAUAGCUCAGUUGGGAGAGCGUCAGACUGAAGAUCUGAAGGUCCCUGGUUUAAUCC
rnacentral:tRNA from 1 species